UACAGAGGUCUCAAGCGUUGUUCGGAUUCAUUGGGCGUAAAGGGCGCGUAGGCUGCGGGGCAAGUCGGGUGUGAAAUCUCAGAGCUCAACUCUGAAACUGCACUCGAUACUGCUUUGCUCGAGGACUGGAGAGGAGAUUGGAAUUCACGGUGCAGCAGUGAAAUGCGUAGAUAUCGUGAGGAAGACCAGUGGCGAAGGCGGAUCUCUGGACAGUUCCUGACGCUGAGGCGCGAAGGCCAGGGGAGCAAACGGG
rnacentral:rRNA from 1 species